CACAAAUAUUUCAUGAUUUGCAUGUGUGUUUUGAUAUCUACAAAUAAAAAAAAUCAUAUUUGUAACUCGUAUAUUGAUUUUUACAAAUAUAGAUGUGCAUUUGUAUGAAAUCUCGACCUUAUUAGUGAUUGAUCUAGAGCCUAUCUUAUGUGCUGUGUUUAAGCAGGCCGUGAACAAAGGGUUAACUUAUAGCCUACAGGUAGAAAAAAGAAAAAAUGGUGAUAAUAUAACGUUAGCUAAGUUAGUUUGCCUGCUAGUGUAGCCAGUUGCAUUCUCGCUCUGUCUGUCUCCUCCUGCUUACCUUACACACUGGUCUCUAACGAAGGGGGCGGGGUAGGCAUGUAGCUAUCCAUUCAUUCAGAUCCUGGUAUUAGGCCAUGGUAUAAAGGUGCCUAGUAGGUCGGACUGUCUUCUUCUCUGUCUCUCGCUCGGUUUGUCCCUGGGUUUCACGCAGGAGCCAAUCGCCAGCUCUGCAUCUCCCUUACUCUGCCGUGGCUGUAUGGAACCUGACCUGUCUAGCAUUAGAUAACUCUCCCCUGCAGCUUAUGACGACGGCACGGCCUGUCUGUUUUAAGCGUUCUUUAGGCCUACUGGCUAAUCCGUGACUAAGUGUUUGGUAUGUAUGAAACCGGAAUGUUGUAGCUUUUGGUGUGGCAUUUGAGACACUGAUACACUCUAAGUGUUUACUAUUUAUGUUACAGGUAGCAUGGCUUCGUCAAGUUUGCUUGUUUAGUGUGGUCACGCUGCUGUCUUGUCCAUAGCAUUAGUUUUUUAUUUAUUUUUGUGUUUACGUCAUCACAGCUCCUCCGUGUCGCGGUAGCUGACCUGUUUGUGUUGCUCUUUGCUUGAUUGGGAUUUCCCAGGCGGGUUUGUUUGGUUUGUUUUUUUUGUUUGUUUGUUUGCUGGUCUGUUUUGCUUUUGCCUUAGUGUGUGUGUGAUCGUGUUUUCUGAGUUUGUAGUGUGUCUGCAUGCCUAGCUUUUAUCCCAGCGAGGAUUAUUUCCCUGGCUCAAAAGCUUUACAUCUUUAAUUGGUAUAACCUACAUGCUGGUGUUUGUGGUUGCUGUGCUCCUUUUUGAUCAGUUUAUGUGUUGGCAGGCCUGUGGGUUAGCUUCGGCGGGGGGUAGCUAGUCACCUGGUGGCGGGCUUGUGAACUUCACUUUGGAGUGUACUAUGGAAUAUCGGUGGUGGCUUGCUGUGACAAUGGUGUAACACUUUUCUGCAGUGAGUGCACGUGUGGACACCUUCCUUGAUAGUCUGCUUCCCCCCCAUCCAGGUAAGCCCCGCCUGCCAGUAUAAUUUUCUGUUUUAUUUUGGUGUGUGCAACAUUCCCAGCUGAUGUGUUAGAAUUGCUUGUGCUAUUUAACUCAUGUCAUGCAUCCUACACGACAGUAAAAAGAUACAAUAAGAACACUAAAAUAAAGUAUAUUUUUAUGUUUCUAACCCCUGCCAGUUAUUUUCAGUUUCAGCAACAGAUCACACCACACUCCCCCCUCCCUCUCCCCAACAGUGCUUUCAAUAAACGGACAUUUGAUUUGAUUGGAA